AUUAAAUAAUUAAAAAGGGAAAGGGGAUGGGCUAGCUGGGUUUGGGUUACCCAGAUGGGCCGGGCCGACCGAUCUGCAUGGGCUGCAAGGGAAAACGCAAGCGGGAGUCAUGGGCUGGUGGGCCUUGGUCGGUUGGGCCAUCUGCGAGCCUAUCCAUGCGGGGUGGGCACGAUCAUCCCCUUGGGCUUGCACACGUGAGGUCGGUUCUACAUGAGCCUAGAGGGUCACAUGCGUGGGCGCUCUCAAGGGCCUGUGCGGUCACGCGUGCAUGUUCAUUGGUCGUAUGGGCUGGGCCACUUGUUCGACAUGCGUUUGCAUCAGGCGUGGGCUUUCAUACAAUUCUUCAAGCCCAUCAGUCUUACUUGGGCCUUAAGCCUUUUGGCUUGAACAAACCU
rnacentral:lncRNA from 1 species